GUUUUAAUAAUUUAAUAAAAAUAUUGGUCUUGUAAACCAAAUAUAAGGUACACCUUUUAAAACU
rnacentral:tRNA from 1 species